GGGCAAUGACUGGACGUCUCGGCAGUGUUAUAUCUUCCAUGGGUAGAUGGAGAAUGAGGCUUGAGGUUCCAAGAGCUGAGAUUGCUGAGAUGCUUCCACUUGCAAGGCUUCUGUCUCGAAGUUCUGACCCUGUUGUUUUAUCAAGGUCAAAGGACCUUUUCAUGCAAAGUUUGCAGUUAAUCGGAUUGUAUACUGAAAGCCUCCAGAAGCUGCUUGAGGAAAUUCGGGGUCAUUCUACUCUAUCAGAUGAAGUUAUUCUUGAAGAGUUCAAUCUUCCUGGUUUAGCUGAACUU
rnacentral:misc_RNA from 1 species